UACGGAGGGUGCGAGCGUUGUCCGGAAUCACUGGGCGUAAAGGGCUCGUAGGCGGUCUGUUGCGUCGGGAGUGAAAACUCAGGGCUUAACCCUGAGCCUGCUUCCGAUACGGGCAGACUAGAGGUAUGCAGGGGAGAACGGAAUUCCUGGUGUAGCGGUGAAAUGCGCAGAUAUCAGGAGGAACACCGGUGGCGAAGGCGGUUCUCUGGGCAUUACCUGACGCUGAGGAGCGAAAGUGUGGGGAGCGAACAGG
rnacentral:rRNA from 1 species